rnacentral:rRNA from 1 species
CCUACGGGAGGCAGCAGUGGGGAAUAUUGGACAAUGGGCGAAAGCCUGAUCCAGCCAUGCCGCGUGUGUGAAGAAGGCCUUCGGGUUGUAAAGCACUUUCAGUGGGGAAGAAAGCCUUGGGGCUAAUACCCUCGAGGAAGGACAUCACCCACAGAAGAAGCACCGGCUAACUCCGUGCCAGCAGCCGCGGUAAUACGGAGGGUGCGAGCGUUAAUCGGAAUUACUGGGCGUAAAGCGCGCGUAGGCGGUCUGAUAAGCCGGUUGUGAAAGCCCCGGGCUCAACCUGGGAACGGCAUCCGGAACUGUCAGGCUAGAGUGCAGGAGAGGAAGGUAGAAUUCCCGGUGUAGCGGUGAAAUGCGUAGAGAUCGGGAGGAAUACCAGUGGCGAAGGCGGCCUUCUGGACUGACACUGACGCUGAGGUGCGAAAGCGUGGGUAGCAAACAGGAUUAGAAACCCCAGUAGUC